rnacentral:hammerhead_ribozyme from 1 species
AUCCAGCUGACGAGUCCCAAAUAGGACGACGGAAUCCAGGAC